GGCUGGUCCAAUGGUAGUAGGUUAUCAGAACUUAUUAACAUUAGUGUCACUAAAGUUGGUAUUCCAUUCCCCACUGAUAAAUUUGACUGGCUUUAA
rnacentral:Y_RNA from 1 species